rnacentral:rRNA from 1 species
AUUGAACGCUGGCGGCAGGCCUAACACAUGCAAGUCGAGCGAGCGGCGGACGGGUGAGUAAAGUCUGGGAAAACGUAUGGUGGAGGGGGAUACAUACUGGGAAAGGUAGGUCAUACACCAUACCAUUAGAUGUGACCAGAUUGGAUUAGCUAGUAGGUGGGGUAAUGGCUCACCUAGGCGCCGAUCCCUCGCUGGUCUGAGAGGAUGACCAGCCACACUGGAACUGAGAAACGGUCCAGACUCCUACGGGAGGCAGCAGUGGGGAAUAUUGCACAAUGGGCGAAAGCCUGAUGCAGCCAGGCCGCGUGUGUGAAGAAGGCCUUCGGGUUGUAAAGCACUUUCAGCGAGGAGGCGUUACUCGCAGAAGAAGCACCGGCUAACUCCGUGCCAGCAGCCGCGGUAAUUC